GGGAAUAGCUCAGUGGUAGAGCAUCGCCUUGCCAAGGCGAGGGUCGGGAGUUCGAAUCUCCUU
rnacentral:tRNA from 1 species